AGUUGAAUAUCGGCGUCAGGUGCCCCCGCUUGGGGGAGAAUAGGGAAUCGGAGCAUAACCGAGCGGUCCCGCCACUGUAUCCGGAGAGCAGUUCUCGUUAUCCACUGGCCUUGCGGCCGGGAAGGAGAGACUCUGCGUUGAUCCGUUAGCCAGGAGACCUGCCUGACGCCACGAUCACUU
rnacentral:ncRNA from 2 species